ensembl:processed_transcript
UGCUAGAGGCCUUUUUCUGAGAGGAGCAUCAGCCACCCAAGAGGGCGUAGAGGAAGGAAGCACACAAAGAAACCCCAGGUUCUUCCCUUCAAGACAGGUGUGGCCCUGAGGUUUGCCAUUUAUAGUUCAGGUGAGACAGUUUCUGGGAGAAAGGGAGAAGCAUUGGAACUACAGAGACUUCAAGACCUGGUCCUUCGACUGUGUAAUUCCAAAGACCUGACGUAGCUUCCCUGGAUAGCCUUCCGUCAGUAAAAAGAGAAUAUGAACAGCUGCUUUGCCAAGUUUAAUGUCCUUCUCUGGAAUAGUCUCAAUUCAAUCACUGCUGCUUAGCAGAAACUGUGGUUAUGUCCUGUUGCGUUCGGGUAUUUAAAACGGACACUAAAACCACUUGUUUCUUCGAAAGUGGAGGACUUGAGUUUCCCUCCUUCCUUACCAUUCUGUACAUUAAAAUAUACUAUGUAUAAAUACAGAGUCUGCAGAUAAGAGCUGCCUGUAACCAGUUUCUGUGCUUCUAUUGCUUCCACGCCAUAGUCUUGGAAAUUAGCCCCUCCCUCCGGAAACGCCCUCAGACGCCACCAGUCUUUGUUGGUUCUCCUGGAAAAUGGCUCCUAAGGCCACCUCUGGAGAUGGCUGAUGUUGAGGACGUUUGCCAACCCAGAAACAACUGACAGGUUGGUUCCUCAGAGGCGCAACCUGUGCUGUGUUCAUUCGAGGAGCUGCCUCUUGCCUCUCCGCACUGAAAGCAAUCGCAUGCUAGGAAAUUCUGAAAAGAGCUGAGCUAUACAGUGACAGAAACAUAUCGGGAGAUAUGAGCUGCAAAAGUUAGGAGGGGGUUUUUUCGGGGGUGGUGGUAUUAAGGGGCAAAAGGCAACGUAUGAGGUGAGACGUUUUAUUCCAUCCUGUGCUCCCCACUGUUGCGGUCUCACAGCCCCAGCAGUGGUCUACAAGCAAUGAGGUCUUGUAACCACCGACCCAGGUGAACCUUUCCCUAUUUAUAAACAUUAUCUCCAGUAUUUGCUGUGACAGUGAAGGAUGGCCAACACAGAGAUAGCAAUCAUAGAAAAUUUCUUCAUGGGAGAAAAUGUUCACGGACCUCAGUCAUCUCCAUGAAAGGGCUUCCCCUCCUGUGUCCAUUCGUCAGGCCCACAACCAAGGGCUCCCACAAAGACCACACAGAAAACUCUGGGCUCAUACUCAGUUCUAUUUGAUUGAUUGUGAUCAGGAAAAACAAGUCUAAGGUUCAGCCUAAUUCAGCACUUCUGCAUUAAAAGACUUGCGACCUUCUCAUGCCCUUCAUUUCCACGGGAACCACAGAUAAUUUUUUUACCCCUGUCAAUUUUGGUCCUUGAAGACAUCAGCACCUACGGGAAAAAUCAAUUGGAGUGGUGAGGGAUCUGCUUGAAUAACCACUCCAGAAUCUCAUGGUUUGAGCAGGUGAACGUGUUUACCCUUUUUAUUAAUAGCUACUAAUCAAUCACUCUGUGCUAUUUCAAACCAUCAGCCUCUGCACAAGGACCAGUUCAGCUCCAAAUUCCUCUCCAUUGAUGCUCUCUCAGAUCUGAGUGAUCAUGAAGGAGGCCAUGUAUUGAACAGCUCCCGUAAGACGCUGUAGUCAUCACCGGAAAGGUGAUUUCAUCGUGCAGUGAGACAUGAACCUGGAUGUCCUAGCAGUACAGUGAGGACAUUAAUCAUUUUAUGGUUUGACUCAUUCGUAUCACAUUAAGCUAAUUGGAAAUUCUAUAAGUCAUUUAGGAGUCAAAAUUCCAGAUUCAAAGGGAAUUCUGUCUCUUGCCCAGACUAUCAACCCAUCCCAUCCCCAAAAUAAAUGUAAACAAUUCCCAGUUGUAAAAACAUGACACUAAAUUAUGGAAAUCACCAUCAUUACUAACUCAUGUGAAUACUUCCCAUUUUGAAGCAACUGUAAUUGUUUUAAAUAAUAGAAUUACAAUUGCCUUUAAAACCAUGCCUCAGCAUUUUGAAAUUUAAAAAGCUCUGUUAAGACUUCUGUGCUUCUGGGUAGAUGGACUGUGUCAGGAGGGCCUGGGAGGAGAGGAAUGUAAAGUUAAUAAAGAAAUUAAUA